ACGAACGCUGGCGGCAUGCCUAACCCCUGCAAGUCGAACGAGACCUUCGGGUCUAGUGGCGCCCGGGUGCGUAACGCGUGGGAACCUGCCCUUAGGUUCGGAAUAACUCCCCGAAAGGGGUGCUAAUACCGGAUAAUGUCUUCGGACCAAAGAUUUAUCGCCUUUGGAUGGGCCCGCGUUGGAUUAGCUAGUUGGUAGGGUAAAAGCCUACCAAGGCGACGAUCCAUAGCUGGUCUGAGAGGAUGAUCAGCCACACUGGGACUGAGACACGGCCCAGACUCCUACGGGAGGCAGCAGUGGGGAAUAUUGGACAAUGGGCGAAAGCCUGAUCCAGCAAUGCCGCGUGAGUGAUGAAGGCCUUAGGGUUGUAAAGCUCUUUUACCCGGGAUGAUAAUGACAGUACCGGGAGAAUAAGCUCCGGCUAACUCCGUG
rnacentral:rRNA from 1 species